ACUACUCAGCAUCCGGGCGUGGACCCCCGCCAAACAACGACCAUCUCAAUGAAAUUGCGUAUUUGAUUGUUAGGGCUCUUUGAGGGUCGCAUGCUCAUGGUUUUGUUUCCUGGCAGCUAUUUAUUUAGAUUUUA
ensembl:ncRNA F38B6.11 ncRNA